rnacentral:lncRNA from 1 species
UCCUCCUCCCCCCUCCGGCCCCUCCCCUCACCCCCUGCGCUUCCCGCCCCGCCAGGGGCCCCGCCGAGCCCUCGGGGCCGGGACGCGCUGGUUCCCUAGCCCGACAGUGCCCGUCCGCACUCCCGCAGGCGGCCCGGGGUGGCUCCGGGACAGCGCACGGCCCACCUGUGCCCGCGGGGGACGCCGAGGCGGGCGCAGCGCACAGCCUCGCUCCUGGCCCCAGCAGCCCCGCUGGAGACAGCCCGGAGGGCCCUAAGCGCUGGCGAACGUUGCUCGUCCCACCCGAGCCCGGCAAGGCUGGAGGGGGGCGCGGAGCCCCCGAAGGAGGAGCCGCUCGCCGGGCCAGGUGGUCGCUCGCCGGCGCUCAGAGUCUGGGCUUUGCUGGGACUACCUACAGUGAGAUUCCCCCAGACCAUAAGGAGGGUUGUUCCGGGAAAUGAAUCAAGCACACAUGGAAAAAGCCAACUCUAAGACUCACAUGAGAUGAUUUUGGGAGCCAGAAGAACAUGCCUGACCUUAAAUUCAUUAAUAUCAUAAUAUAUAAUUCAAUCACUGCUAAGAGAGACAUGACUGUUUUAUAAGCAAUACUGUAAGUGUGGUUGCUACCCAAAAAGCACCACCCAUGAUUGACAUUUGACUGGAUUUAUUUCCAAACUUCACACUCUGCAAAGUCUGCAGAAAUUUCUAGCCACGCAAGAGCCACCAUCCCAUUUCACUUAUAACCUUGAUCACAAUCCUAUCACAAUCCUGCUACUUGUCACACACAUCACAUCUCCUUUUCCUGCUGUUUUAUCAGCAAAGCUUUAUAAACUUUAAUGGUGGCUCUAUACAGAGCAACCCAAUACUUUAAAGGAUCUGUCAGAAAAUAUGACAUCAAGCUUUGGUUUGCUUGGCACUGAAGUGAUGUUUAAUAUAGAAAUGCCUUCCUUGGGCAGCCCAGGUUGCUCAGUGGUUUAGUGCCACCUUCAGCCCAGGGUGUGAUCUUGGAGACCUGGGAUCGAGUCCCAUGUCAGGCUUCCUGCAUGGAGCCUGCUUUUCUGUGUGUGUGUGUGUGUGUGUGUGUGUCUUGAAUAAAUAAAUUAAAUAUUUAAAAAAAAGAAAAAGA